rnacentral:tRNA from 1 species
ACCUGGGUGGCUCAGUCGGUUGAGCGUCUGACUUUAGCUCAGGUCAUCUCAUGGUUCGUGGGUUCGAGCCCUGCAUCAGGGC